rnacentral:rRNA from 1 species
UACGGGGGGGGCAAGCGUUGUUCGGAAUUACUGGGCGUAAAGGGCUUGUAGGUGGCCAACUAAGUCAGACGUGAAAUCCCUCAGCUUAACUGGGGAACUGCUUCUGAUACUGGAUGGCUUGAGUUUGGGAGAGGGAUGCGGAAUUCCAGGUGUAGCGGUGAAAUGCGUAGAUAUCUGGAGGAACACCGGUGGCGAAGGCGGCAUCCUGGACCGGUAUUGACGCUGAGGCGCGAAAGCUAGGGGAGCAAACGGG